AGCCAACAGAUGUUGGGAGGAGAAUGAUGGUUGCAAGUGACCGAAACAAGACUAGGAAAGACUCUUUUGAAGUUUGGCAGCUAAGUGAAGUAGAGUGGAUAUGAACUUGAAGGGGAUAGGAAACUUGAGAAUUUCUUUUUAAUUGGAUAGAUUUAUACGUAUUUGUGGGCUGAAGAGAAAAAGCCACUAGAGAUAGAAAGAUUAAAGAUGUCAGAGAGAAAUGGACUAUGGAUCAAGGAUUUAAGAACAGGGGAGCCCUUUCUUUAUUUUGUCAGCUGACUGAUGGAGAGGUGGUGUUAGGGGCUGAAUUGUGUGCCCCCAAAUUCAUAUACUGAAGUCCUGAUUCCUGCACCUCGGAAUGUGACUGUGUUUGGAGAGAGGGUCUUUACAGAAGUGGUUAAGAUAAAAUGAGGUCAUAUGGGUGGGCCCUAAUCCAGUAUGACUGGUGUCUUUAAAGAAAGGGAGAUUAGGACACAGACAUGCACAGCGGGAAGACCACAUGAGGACACAGGGAGAAGACGGCCAUCUCAAAGCCGCGGAGAGAGGCCUCAGAAGAAACCAACCCUGCCAAUGCCUUGACUUCAGACUUCUAGCCUCCAGAAUGCACCUUUGAUGUUGAGUUCAUGGGAAAUACAGAAAAUGCACAUCAGAUCAGUACUGCAAAACAAUGGUGCCCAGAUGCUUGUGAUUGGAGGUCGUUCUCUCACCGUGUCGGAGCUGCGUUUUGAGAGGUGGCCAGUGUGAGCCUGUGGGCUAGUAUCAGCUGCCUUAACCUUAGGAAGAGGAGGAAGCAGCUUUGGUUGGAUAUAGUGAUCCUCGUGCUGAAGAGGACCCGCCACGGGCUUCAAGGUCUUACUUGGAAGAGGUUGUGGCAAUUUAUAAUUAUACAAAAGACAAGGAAGAUGAGCUAUCCUUUCAGGAAGAGCCAUUAUUUAUGUCAUCCAAAAGAAAACGAUGGUUGAUAUGAGGGAGUUCUGAUGCAGUGACUAGGCUCUUUCCUGCGAAUUAUGCUGAGUCUGUCAUGCAUUGUCCUGAGUAAAGCUCAGCAGGGGAUAAUCGGGUCUUCCAAGAUUGUUAAAAGGCCCUGGGGAUUCCCCCCCCCUGGUGAAAUGAAUGAAAGACACGAAUGAUGAAAACUACUUUUUUUUUUGGUUUAUCCCCCUGUAUCAAAACAAACAAAAAAGCAAGCGGAGUCUGAACAAAUGGAUCUUUCUGCCAUCAUUUGCACUGUGCUGAGCUGUCUGAAUUGAUAUAAAGUGAUGAUUUCUAAAUAUGUAAAAAAAAUACAUACAGCAGAUUUCAUGGAAAACAAACAUAAUGCACAUGUACAAAUAUACGUACAGCAUACAAGCAGAUAGUGUAUCUGUGGUGCUAAGAUGCCAAUCCUGAUCGUGCACGUCCACAGGUCGAUCAUCACCGCCCGCUUGCAAGGCAAUCACGUUUUUGUGACACCGAGUCAUCAUUAUCUAAUCUGUGGACAGCAAUAUGGUACUGAUGCUCUAGGAAGAACUUGGAAGUGGAGCCUGGGUGUCAGGGCCAGAUGACUGGGCUUUCCCGAGCUGGUCCUGUCAGCUUCUCAUUUCUUGCCUUCGCCCAAAAGCCAAGCACACACUCACAAGGCCUUCGCACUCACAGUUCCCUCUGCCUAUAAAGCUCUCUGCCAGAGCAGGGCUCACUUGCUCAUUUGCUCCAGGGCCCUGCUCACAAUUCACGUCCUCAGAAUGCACGCCCAGCCGGUCCCCACUCUCAACCCUUUACUCUAUUUUUUUCUUUGCUUGUUUUCACUUAUGAUGCCUAUCACCACCUGGCAUUAUAUUAGAGCCCUCCCUCCUAUCCGUGAGGGAUUGGUUCCAGGACUCAGCUGCCCAGAUACCAAAAUCCCUGGAUGCUCAAGUCUCUUAUAAAAUGGCCCAUCCUCUGGAGUGCUUUAUAUCAUCUCUGGAUUACUGAUAUACCUGAUACAGUGUAAAGGCUAUGUAAGUAGUUGUUAUACUGUAUUGUUUAGGGUACAAUGACAAGGAGAAAAGUCUGUACGUGUUCAGUACAGACACAACCAUCGCAGGCCUUCCCAUCGACGUUGGUUGAAUAUGGAUGCAGAUCCUAUGGAUACGAAGGGCUGACUGUAUUAUCUAUUUGGUUUUUUUGUUUAUUGUUUAUUUCCCUCAUGGGGCCGUAAACUUCAUAGGAUGGGGCUUUUGUUUACUACUGUCCCUCCAAAAUAGGGACUCGAUAUUUGUUGACUGUGUAAUGGAGACAUGAAUAAAUACUGGAGGCUGGGUUUGAUUCUUGGC
rnacentral:lncRNA from 1 species